AGGAGAGUUUGAUCCUGGCUCAGGAUGAACGCUAGCUACAGGCUUAACACAUGCAAGUCGAGGGGCAGCAGGGCAAUAGCUUGCUAUUGUUGCUGGCGACCGGCGCACGGGUGAGUAACGCGUAUCCAACCUACCCUGCAGUCAGGGAUAGCCCGGCGAAAGUCGGAUUAAUACCUGAUGCAGUCAGAAGAGGGCAUCUGAUUUUGACGAAAGAUUCAUCGCUGCGGGAUGGGGAUGCGUAGGAUUAGGCAGGCGGCGGGGCAACGGCCCACCGCGCCGACGAUCCUUAGGGGUUCUGAGAGGAAGGUCCCCCACACUGGUACUGAGACACGGACCAGACUCCUACGGGAGGCAGCAGUGAGGAAUAUUGGUCAAUGGGCGGUAGCCUGAACCAGCCAAGUAGCGUGCAGGAUGACGGCCCUACGGGUUGUAAACUGCUUUUAUGCGGGGAUAAAGUGCGCGACGUGUCGCGUUUUGUAGGUACCGCAUGAAUAAGGACCGGCUAAUUCCGUGCCAGCAGCCGCGGUAAUACGGAAGGUCCGGGCGUUAUCCGGAUUUAUUGGGUUUAAAGGGAGCGCAGGCGGCCUUUUAAGCGUGACGUGAAAUGUAGGCGCUCAACGUCUGAAUUGCGUCGCGAACUGUUAGGCUUGAGUAGACGGAAUGCCGGUGGAAUUCGUGGUGUAGCGGUGAAAUGCUUAGAUAUCACGAAGAACUCCGAUUGCGAAGGCAGCUGGCAGCAGUUUUACUGACGCUCAUGCUCGAAAGUGCGGGUAUCGAACAGGAUUAGAUACCCUGGUAGUCCCCU
rnacentral:rRNA from 1 species